GUGCUUUUCCAGAACAUAUUCUAAAACUGAAAUAAUAGAGAGUAGAUGAGUACAACCCCUGUAUAACCAUGACACAUAAACUCAGGAAGUGUUCUGUAUUUUA